UACGGAGGGUGCUAGCGUUGUUCGGAAUCACUGGGCGUAAAGGGCGUGUAGGCGGUCUGUUAAGUCUGAUGUGAAAUCCCCUCGCUCAACGAGGGAACUGCGUCGGAUACUGGCAGACUCGAGUACCGGAGAGGAAGGUGGAAUUCCCGGUGUAGCGGUGAAAUGUAUUGAGAUCGGAAAGAACACCAACGGCGAAAGCACUCUGCUGGGCCGACACUGACACUGAGAGACGAAAGCUAGGGGAGCAAAUGGG
rnacentral:rRNA from 1 species